CGGACGGGUGAGUAAUGUCUGGGAAACUGCCUGAUGGAGGGGGAUAACUACUGGAAACGGUAGCUAAUACCGCAUAACGUCGCGAGACCAAAGAGGGGGACCUUAGGGCCUCUUGCCAUCGGAUGUGCCCAGAUGGGAUUAGCUAGUAGGUGGGGUAACGGCUCACCUAGGCGACGAUCCCUAGCUGGUCUGAGAGGAUGACCAGCCACACUGGAACUGAGACACGGUCCAG
rnacentral:rRNA from 1 species